rnacentral:rRNA from 1 species
GACAAACGCUGGCGGCGUACUUAAGACAUGCAAGUCGAACGGGUGUCCUGCUUUCGGGUGGGAUGCUAGUGGCGGAUGGGUGAGUAACGCGUAGGAACCUGUCGUUAAGUGGGGAUACCGCUGGGAAACCGGCGCUAAUACCGCAUGUGGUCGAGUGAUCGAAGAAAGCAGCACUGCGCUUGAUGAGGGGCCUGCGUCCGAUUAGCUAGUUGGUGGGGUAAAGGCCUACCAAGGCGUCGAUCGGUAGCUGGUCUGAGAGGAUGGUCAGCCACACUGGGACUGAGACACGGCCCAGACUCCUACGGGAGGCAGCAGUUAGGAAAUUUUCACAAUGGGCGAAAGCCUGAUGGAGUAACGCCGCGU